GCAUGAUUCCACAUGAACAUGGAACAGCAAGAUUUGGCAGGACUGGAGCAGCAGCAAUAGACCAGGUUUUAGCUGAAUCUGUUGUUUAUGCAAACUAGUUGGGUUGACAGAGAGAAAAUGAUACAAUACUAUCACAGAAGUGACAGCUCCCUCCCAGGCAGCUGCAUCCUUCAACCACAGACAAACAAAAGGAAAAGGAAGAUUUGUAUGUGUUAAACCACAAAGGAAGACACAUCUUUUAACACAGCCCUAAUAGACAGAGGAAACCUGCACAGACCUGGCAGAGAGACUGCAUCGUACCCAAGUCCAGGGCACUUCCAGAAGAGAGCAGUGAAGCAUGCAUUGCAGGGAUUAGAUGAGACACUGGCUACUGCUUAGUCACAUGGGCGUUUAUGGAAGUGUCAAACCACCUACCGGUACCUACCACCACUUCUGUGACCAGACUCAGACAUUGCACCUAUGCAGAAAGCUAAUAAUUGCAAAUAAACCACUUCAGUCGCAUAGCACAUUAUAUGAGUACAAUUUGAACACAAAACAUGGACAUACUGUAGCUCCAUAAUGCAGUCUUUAUAUUAAAGAUUAGAGACAUUUGCCAGACAAAGCGACAGACACCGGUUAUUUGAAUGCAAGUUGACUGAUCACCAGGGUGAUGUCAAAGUGCAGUAAUAAUACUCACCAUCUG